GCCUGUCUAGCUCAGUCAGUAGAGCAUGAGACUCUUAAUUUCAGGGUCAUGGGUUUGAGCCCCAUGUUGGGUG